CUACGGAGGGUGCAAGCGUUACUCGGAAUCACUGGGCGUAAAGCGCGCGCAGGCGGCUUGAUAAGUUGGAUGUGAAAGCCUACGGCUCAACCGUAGAACUGCAUCCAAAACUGUCAGGCUAGAGUGUGCGAGAGGAAGAUGGAAUUAGUUGUGUAGGGGUAAAAUCCGUAGAGAUAACUAGGAAUACCAAAAGCGAAGGCAAUCUUCUGGAACACUACUGACGCUGAGGCGCGAAGGCGUGGGGAGCAAACAGGAUUAGAAACCCCAGUAGUCC
rnacentral:rRNA from 1 species